AGUGAACGCUGGCGGUAGGCUUAACACAUGCAAGUCGAACGGCAGCACAGUAAGAGCUUGCUCUUACGGGUGGCGAGUGGCGGACGGGUGAGGAAUACAUCGGACUCUACUUUUUCGUGGGGGAUAACGUAGGGAAACUUACGCUAAUACCGCAUACGACCUACGGGUGAAAGCAGGGGAUCUUCGGACCUUGCGCGAUUGAAUGAGCCGCUGUCGGAUUAGCUAGUUGGCGGGGUAAAGGCCCACCAAGUCGACGAUCCGUAGCUGGUCUGAGAGGAUGAUCAGCCACACGGGAACUGAGACACGGUCCAGACUCCUACGAGAGGCAGCAGUGGGGAAUAUUGGACAAUGGGCGCAAGCCUGAUCCAGCCAUACCGCGUGUGUGAAGAAGGCCUUCGGGUUGUAAAGCCCUUUUGUUGGGAAAGAAAAGCAGCAGGUUAAUACCCCGCUGUUCUGACGGUACCCAAAGAAUAAGCACCGGCUAACUUCGUG
rnacentral:rRNA from 1 species